AUUGAACGCUGGCGGCAGGCCUAACACAUGCAAGUCGAGCGGAUGAGUGGAGCUUGCUCCAUGAUUCAGCGGCGGACGGGUGAGUAAUGCCUAGGAAUCUGCCUGGUAGUGGGGGACAACGUUUCGAAAGGAACGCUAAUACCGCAUACGUCCUACGGGAGAAAGCAGGGGACCUUCGGGCCUUGCGCUAUCAGAUGAGCCUAGGUCGGAUUAGCUAGUAGGUGAGGUAAUGGCUCACCUAGGCGACGAUCCGUAACUGGUCUGAGAGGAUGAUCAGUCACACUGGAACUGAGACACGGUCCAGACUCCUACGGGAGGCAGCAGUGGGGAAUA
rnacentral:rRNA from 1 species